UGGAUCCAGACUUUGAUUAUGGCUCAGGAUGAACGCUAGCUACAGGCUUAACACAUGCAAGUCGAGGGGAAACGACAUCGAAAGCUUGCUUUUGAUGGGCGUCGACCGGCGCACGGGUGAGUAACGCGUAUCCAACCUGCCCACCACUUGGGGAUAACCUUGCGAAAGUAAGACUAAUACCCAAUGAUAUCUCUAGAAGACAUCUGAAAGAGAUUAAAGAUUUAUCGGUGAUGGAUGGGGAUGCGUCUGAUUAGCUUGUUGGCGGGGUAACGGCCCACCAAGGCAACGAUCAGUAGGGGUUCUGAGAGGAAGGUCCCCCACAUUGGAACUGAGACACGGUCCAAACUCCUACGGGAGGCAGCAGUGAGGAAUAUUGGUCAAUGGACGAGAGUCUGAACCAGCCAAGUAGCGUGCAGGAUGACGGCCCUAUGGGUUGUAAACUGCUUUUAUAAGGGAAUAAAGUGAGUCUCGUGAGACUUUUUGCAUGUACCUUAUGAAUAAGGACCGGCUAAUUCCGUGCCAGCAGCCGCGGUAAUACGGAAGGUCCGGGCGUUAUCCGGAUUUAUUGGGUUUAAAGGGAGCGUAGGCCGGAGAUUAAGCGUGUUGUGAAAUGUAGACGCUCAACGUCUGCACUGCAGCGCGAACUGGUUUCCUUGAGUACGCACAAAGUGGGCGGAAUUCGUGGUGUAGCGGUGAAACGCUUAGAUAUCACGAAGAACUCCGAUUGCGAAGGCAGCUCACUGGAGCGCAACUGACGCUGAAGCUCGAAAGUGCGGGUAUCGAACAGGAUUAGAUACCCUGGUAGUCCGCACGGUAAACGAUGGAUGCCCGCUGUUGGUCUGAAUAGGUCAGCGGCCAAGCGAAAGCAUUAAGCAUCCCACCUGGGGAGUACGCCGGCAACGGUGCAACUCAAAUGAAUUGACGGAA
rnacentral:rRNA from 1 species